rnacentral:piRNA from 1 species
UAGAAAUUGGAGCCUCAAGGGAAAGGGGUC